rnacentral:rRNA from 1 species
GAUGAACGCUAGCGGGAGGCCUAACACAUGCAAGCCGAGCGGUAUUUGUCCUUCGGGACAGAGAGAGCGGCGUACGGGUGCGGAACACGUGUGCAACCUGCCUUUAUCUGGGGGAUAGCCUUUCGAAAGGAAGAUUAAUACCCCAUAAUAUAUCGAAUGGCAUCAUUCGAUAUUGAAAACUCCGGUGGAUAGAGAUGGGCACGCGCAAGAUUAGAUAGUUGGUGAGGUAACGGCUCACCAAGUCAGUGAUCUUUAGGGGGCCUGAGAGGGUGAUCCCCCACACUGGUACUGAGACACGGACCAGUCUCCUACGGGAGGCAGCAGUGAGGAAUAUUGGACAAUGGGUGAGAGCCUGAUCCAGCCAUCCCGCGUGAAGGACUAAGGCCCUAUGGGUUGUAAACUUCUUUUAUACUGGGAUAAACCUACUUACGUGUAAGUAGCUGAAGGUACAGUAUGAAUAAGCACCGGCUAACUCCGUG